GCCGGAGUGGUGAAACUGGCAGACACGCGGGACUCAAAAUCCCGUUCUCGCAAGAGAGUGAGGGUUCGAAUCCCUCCUCCGGCA
rnacentral:tRNA from 1 species